CUCAGGACGAACGCUGGCGGCGUGCCUAAUACAUGCAAGUCGAACGCUUCUUUUUCCACCGGAGCUUGCUCCACCGGAAAAAGAAGAGUGGCGAACGGGUGAGUAACACGUGGGUAACCUGCCCAUCAGAAGGGGAUAACACUUGGAAACAGGUGCUAAUACCGUAUAACAAUCRAAACCGCAUGGUUUUGAUUUGAAAGGCGCUUUCGGGUGUCGCUGAUGGAUGGACCCGCGGUGCAUUAGCUAGUUGGUGAGGUAACGGCUCACCAAGGCCACGAUGCAUAGCCGACCUGAGAGGGUGAUCGGCCACAUUGGGACUGAGACACGGCCCAAACUCCUACGGGAGGCAGCAGUAGGGAAUCUUCGGCAAUGGACGAAAGUCUGACCGAGCAACGCCGCGUGAGUGAAGAAGGUUUUCGGAUCGUAAAACUCUGUUGUUAGAGAAGAACAAGGAUGAGAGUAACUGUUCAUCCCUUGACGGUAUCUAACCAGAAAGCCACGGCUAACUACGUGCCAGCAGCCGCGGUAAUACGUAGGUGGCAAGCGUUGUCCGGAUUUAUUGGGCGUAAAGCGAGCGCAGGCGGUUUCUUAAGUCUGAUGUGAAAGCCCCCGGCUCAACCGGGGAGGGUCAUUGGAAACUGGGAGACUUGAGUGCAGAAGAGGAGAGUGGAAUUCCAUGUGUAGCGGUGAAAUGCGUAGAUAUAUGGAGGAACACCAGUGGCGAAGGCGGCUCUCUGGUCUGUAACUGACGCUGAGGCUCGAAAGCGUGGGGAGCAAACAGGAUUAGAUACCCUG
rnacentral:rRNA from 1 species